rnacentral:rRNA from 1 species
AAAACAUCGCCUUUUGAUAAAAGGUCCAGCCUGCCCAGUGACUCUGUUCAACGGCCGCGGUAUCCUAACCGUGCGAAGGUAGCGUAAUCACUUGUUCUUUAAAUAAGGACUAGUAUGAAUGGCACCACGAGGGUUAUACUGUCUCCUUUUUCUAAUCAGUGAAACUAAUCUCCCCGUGAAGAAGCGAGGAUGAAUUUAUAAGACGAGAAGACCCUAUGGAGCUUUAAACUUAAUAACAAUUGCUAUUUAAGCAUCCUGAUUAUAAGUUUUAGGUUGGGGUGACCGCGGAGUAAAAAACAACCUCCACAUUGAAAGGAUUACUUCCCUUAGCUAAGAACCACAUCUCUAAGCACCAAAAAACUGACAUUAAUUGACCCAUUGAUCAACGAACCAAGUUACCCUAGGGAUAACAGCGCAAUCUACUUCAAGAGCCCCUAUCGACAAGUAGGUUUACGACCUCGAUGUUGGAUCAGGGUAUCCCAGUGGUGCAGCCGCUACUAAAGGUUCGUUUGUUCAACGAUUAAAACCCUACGUGAUCU